AGUGGGAGGAGGGAGGGCGACAGACACCGAUUAAAAAGAGGGUGGGAGAGGAACAACUGACAGGCUCAAGAGCGAGAAGAGUGGGCAGCCGGAGAAGAGGCGGCCGAGGAGGAGGAAGCCCGCGGGAACUCCAGACAGGAGGAGUAAAAGGUUGUAGCCCUACAUUGUGCCCAAAUGCAGCUGGGAAACUGACCUCGGCCAGGGACCUUUCAUGUUAUAAACCGAGCUUCUGAAGUCUUGGUAUCUCUCUUCAGCUGAGCUAAGAUGGGUGACUGGAGCUUCCUAGGAGAGUUCCUGGAGGAAGUACACAAGCAUUCCACAGUGAUCGGCAAGCUCUCUGUCCUUUGUGUCACCUUGAUGCUGUGACCACAAGAGAAGGACAGCAAGAAGAAGACUUGGAGGGAGAGCAGAAGCACUCGGACCUCGCCCGUCAGUCAGCCCAUAAUGCACAGAGCUCUGGAGUCAGGCAUGGAAGUGUUAAAAUCCCAGCUGCUGAUUUACAGCUGGACUCCAGCAAAACUACUUCAUCUCUGUGCCUUGGUUUCCCCAUCUGUGAUUUGAGCCUAGUAAUAUGUAUGUCAUAGGGUUGUUAAAUGAGAGACUGUAGAGAGUUCAACAGAGUGCCAGGGAAAUAAUAGUCUGUCAUUAAGUGGUAAUUGUGGUUAUAGUUGUUAUUAUUAUCUUGAUCAUUUUGUUAUUAUGUUGAAUACAUAGUAUUUGAAAACCUCAGGUAUUGGAUGGAGCUCACAAUCUACCCAAGGUAAUCAAAUUAACUCACACAGUGGAAAAACUCAGGAUAGAAUUAAAUGGGAAUUCAUUUACUAUCAGUUUAAGAAUAAGGAUCUCAGAAGUGAGACUAUGAGAAAACUACAUAGAAGAGGAGAGACCUGACCUGGACCUUAAAGAAUGGCUAAGGUUUUAGAGAAGUGAGGGCCUCAGGGAUGACCUGUAAAAUAGGUCAGAGUAUCCCCACUGUACAGACAUGGAAACUGAGGUCCAGGAAUGUUCCCCGAGAGGGGGCAGCUUCUCUCUGGCCUCUCUAAUUGGGACCACAUCUCUUUGGAAGAGAAGAAAUGAUUCUUGCUCCAAACAAAGAAUGAAGGGAUCACCCAACCUUUUACCAACAAACCAGUGCCAUUUACUAGAGAAAGAAGCAAAGACUGAGAAAAAUAAAAGUGUUGUCUUAACUACCAGUCUGUCUUGUUCAUCAGGGUAGGAAUGCUCUUUUAAACAGCACUUGCAAAGAGAUCAUAGAACACAUGACACUUGUGUUGAGACUCAGGGGUACAUCUGGCAUCUAUCCAAGGGUAAGGUGCUCAGCCCAGAAGGGCCUGAAUAGUUCAACUGGAAAAAUCACCUGGGACCCAUUUCUUCUCCUAGAAAAUAAGCAGUGCAUCUCAUGGUUUUAUAAACAUAGCUAUUAACAUUUAAAAGUUUAUAUUACACCCAGACUGCAAAAGCCAAGGGACUUAUUUUAUAGUGAAUAAGGUAUCAACCUCAUGUAUCUACUCUCAUUUUCUCUUCCUUUCCCCUCUAAAGGUUCAGCCCUGAAGAGCGUAAAUUGUGUAGUAAUACAGUGAAUGCACUCUGGGUUGUAGGCCCCCACAGGCCUGUUCCCUUAAUUUCCUUCCUCCAGUGCCAGAUAAGACUAUAAUUUCUAACACUAGUGUUUCAUUCCCAUAGCUAAAGUGUUUAAGUGGUUAAAUGCUAAAAACAUUUCUGUGAAGAAUCAUAGUAAGAAUGAGCUUCAGAUUUCUUCCUAACAGCAAAUUUUGGUGGCAGAGAGAAAAACAGAAGGGCCCUAGGUGCCUUGCAGGUGUCUUGAAGGACUGCUUUUGUGAUGUAGAGAUGAAGAAAACAGCAAGGCUAGAGGUGGGUGACAAAGAUAAGCUGCGCACAUCCCAAUCCGUGUAUUAGAUAAUAAGCAGAAUUUACAAAUGAUAGGUAUGUAAAUACAAUAAGAUCAACAGUCUUUCCUCUCAUUGGCCACCUGAUGGUCGUCAGAGAUGGGUAUGGUCUAUACUUUUUUACUGUUGUUUCAACUGGAAAAGAGAAAAACUUUCAUUCAACAAGUUUUUAUUGAGCACUAUUUUAUGCUAGACACUAUGUUAGCUUUUAGGAAUACAAUUUUAUAAAACAGGAUUCUAGCCUUUCAGAACUCACAGUCUAGUGGGGCAGAGACCCUAACACAAAGUAACAAUCAAAAUAAUUACAAAUUGUGAUAAAUGCCAAAAAGGAAAUGGAUAGGGUGCUAUCAAAGGCAGAGGUAGGCCCCUCCUUCAGAUAGGAUGGGCAGAAAGUCUUUUCUGAGGAGUAACAUUGAAACUGAGAUCUGACAGCUGAGAAGAAGCCAGCCCCACUAAUGAGUAGGACAAGUGCCCAAGUAGGAGAACCCAAAUUCCUUCCAGGAAACCCCAGAAUGUGGCUGUCUCUGACCUCAGGCUGGUCCAGCGUCCUUGACAGACACAGAAUUCAGGCAGCACAUAGACAGCAUCUAAAACAACACUGUUUGGCACCCCUGUUAUAAAACACACAUACUUUCAGCAAAAGCCUCAAGGACAGAGAGAAGGGAGCAAUUAAAAGGUUUUAAUUAAAGCAACUAAGUGUCAUAAGUUGACAUUCUAAAAAGCCCUAUUUGAUGUUGCAACUAUUAUUUCCACCAAUAUUGAUUCUUUUAACACUCUUGGGGCCUUCUAAACUAGGCCCAUACCCGAGAGUUCAGGCUGGUAGGCAGAAGACUGCAUCCAAAGGGACUGGGAAAGAGCUGGCAGGGUGUGGUCAAGAGGAGCCUUGGCAUCAGAGUCAAAACAGGGAGAUGUCAAGUGCCUAGAGAAGGGGGCGGGAUGAGGAAGGAGGGGGAGCACGUUGGCAGGGAAGCCAGGCCGCAGAAGUUGUGCAAGACGCCAGGCUGGCAGGUGCUCCUGGGGACAUCUCAGCUGGCAGCAGGGCCACAGCCCUAAUCUGGAAUUGGAGCAAGACCUCUGGACUCAGAAGAGGGAGUUGGCAUGGUCAGAGCAGAGCUUCAUCCUCGGGGCUGGGUUACUAGGCAAGGCACAGGGACAGAGUCUUGUAUAGAGCACAAGGCGGAUGCCUGUCACAGAAUUACCAUGAGGUGCUGAUGAAUGAGGUAUUGCCAGUAACAUAUGUAACUUAAUACAUGCCUGCAAAGCCCUAAACCAAAGGAAUAACCAAUAAUGAGAACUGCAAGCACUGCAUGAGGCACGGUGGUGGGUGAGGAGACGAUCUUGGGCAUGGAACCUAAUACUGCUCUGCAAUCACCUAAGGCCCGUGCAGCCCUGGGGAGGCAGCAUGGCCUGGAAACAAGACUGAAGGCCCCUCUGUCUUUCUAACCUGGCUGACUUUUCCAUUGCCCUGAUUCACUACCCUUAUGGGGUAGGGCACAUUUACUUGCUAUCCUGGGAUUCCUCAGAAACGGAAAGCCAGGCAGGAACCUGCUGAGGAGAGCUCCCUGCCCUGGGCUCUGCAGCCUGGCCAGUGCUAAAUUUCCUCUGGCAGCAGCUACUCUUCAAAUAACAGUGGGUAUUUAGGGCAAGGUGGAAAGUCGUUUUUUCCUCUCCUGGAAUUUAUUUUCAAAUGUGUUAAAAUAUAACUUGGAGGGAUUUAAGCUUACAUUUGUUCGAGGUAAAAUUGCACAUUUGGAAACCGAUGUAAAAAUCUGUGUAGGGUGUCAUUGGCUGAGGUAAAGUCAAUUUAAAAAACCCCACGUAUUUUGGUAAUAAUUAUGAAACAAGCUUGCAACUGUUAAGUGCUGUGUUCCAGGUCCUGUGCAAAGAGAUUUUAUGAAUUGUCAUUUCAUCCUUAUAAUAAUCCUAUGAGGUCAUUUGGCCCUACUUUACAGAUAAUGGAAUGGAAGGAUUUAGUAACCUGCACAGCCCGGAGGUGGUAGAACUAAGAUUCAAAUAAUCAUCUCCCUGCCUACAUAUUUCUUUUAAGUACUUAUGAUAUGUUCUUAAGCAAAAAGGUAAGAUACAAAACUGUAUAUACACCAUGAUUACGACGCAUAAAAUAAGUAUUUAUAAGAUCCAAGGCCUGAAAGGAACAAACGAAAUGAAAGCAACUGGGCCAGUGCAGUGGGUCUGUGGGGCCGCUUGAACUCUCCUAGUGUUCUCAACUAUUUUUAUGUUAUCAUGUUGUUUUUGUAAUUUAAAAAUUUAGAAUAUAUUUAUAUUUAACCUUUGGGCUAAAUUUGGUGUCCCCUUGGGGUGGUGGCAGGGGCUGCCUCUCUUCAUUUCCGCAGUGCUCAUGCCUGGGAACAUUUUUCUUUGUCUGGGCUCUGCCUGCCACCCUUAAAUGGAAUAAGAUUAGCAGAACGCACCCACCCAGGGUCUGGGCUGUUGACAGUGGAAGAGCAGAGGGUCUGCCAGCACGUGGGAGGGGGUGCGGGAGGCAUGACCCGUACUCAGGAGCUCUUGCCCACCCUCAGUGCCCUGCGUGUGGAGAGUCCGCUGUGUGUCAAGGCAGGGCCCUGGGCCAGGCACUGCCUGGGCAGUCUGGGAGGCUGUCAGUGAGAGGGAGGCCUGCCCCAGAUGCUCAGAUCUAGUAGGGGAGGAGAAUGAUGCUGUGUUGCAAGGGAGAAGCUCGGAGUGGUGAGUACGGGAGAAAUGCCAGUGCAGGUUCUCUGAGCAAGGUGGGCACUGGGGAGAGAGAAAGCUCAGGAAAAGCUAUACAGAGUAUGUGCCACUUGGAAUGGCUGUGAAAGAUGCAUAAGAUUUUAUUAGUAGUAGAGAGAAGACUUUUAGUGGCAGGGAGUAGCAGGGAUCCAAAGAUCAGUGACGGAAGGUCAGAAUAUGUUGUAGGCACUGGGAGGAGGCCUGAGGGGGUCAGGGGGGAGGGGAAGCCGAGGUGGGAAGCACCCAUUUAGAGGAUUCCUGAUUCUGCUCUGCAGGCUCUGAGGAACUACUGAGUUUCCUUUGGCAUCUGGGGCGUGGGAUGAUCACCGCUGAACUUGAGGCACAUCAAUGUGCCACGGAGGGAAGACCCCGAGGACUUGGAGGCUGUAGGGUCCAUGAAGCUCUCCUCCGAGCCAGGCGUGAAGCGGGAGGACACAGAGCCUCAGCCACUGACUGGUGACUGCUUGGGUGUGUGCUGGGGGUGGCAGUGGGAGGAGGAAGUCAGGUCUCACUGACCAUGAACUCAUUGAUUCAACAAAAUUCAUUCCAUUCAUUUAUUUAACAUAAGUAUGGUGUGCCUCACAUAGUGCCCGGGGAUUCAAAGAGGAAAGCUGGGUAAGACAGCGACGGUUAUGCAGUGGAGGGGUAGGAGGUAUUUGUGUGUGGAUCCUUUUAUGUAUGACUUCACGUCCUCUCAGCCUGCCUGCCUCUUGUUCAAGCUGCCUGUAGGUGUGGACUAAGUUCACACGGGUGCAUCUGACCUCCCUCCAUGUCUCCUCAAGUGACACAGUGGUAGAACUCUGCUCACUACCUAUGCCAAACUUGAGCAACCCAGAAUGCAACCUCUGGGUUGCAAUAGGGCAAACCUCUGACCAGUGGGAGACAGGGCCCUUCCUCCCCCUUUGCCCCCACUACUUUGGUGAUCCAGGCUUCUCCAGGGUGUGGUCCUUUGGGCUGAGCAACCAGCCCCACUUGACAGUGCCCCACUUGAUAGAACGUCUUCCGAUUGGCUCUGCCUCCUUCCCUGUCUCCCUCCCCUUGUUCCCCACUGUGGCUCCUGGAGCAGUACAACCUAAUAAAGU